ACGGGAGGCAGCAGUGAGGAAUAUUGGUCAAUGGGCGCAAGCCUGAACCAGCCAUGCCGCGUGAAGGAAGAAGGUCCUAUGGAUUGUAAACUUCUUUUGUACGGGGAUAAUAAGCCUUACGAGUAAGGUGAUGAAGGUACCGUAUGAAUAAGCAUCGGCUAACUCCGUGCCAGCAGCCGCGGUAAUACGGAGGAUGCAGGCGUUAUCCGGAUUUAUUAGGUUUAAAGGGUGCGUAGGCGGCGCUGUAAGUCAGUGGUGAAAGCGGGCAGCUCAACUGUCCAACUGCCAUUGAUACUGUAGUGCUUGAAUGCGGCGGAAGUGGGCGGAAUGUGUUGUGUAGCGGUGAAAUGCUUAGAUAUGACACAGAACACCGAUUGCGAAGGCAGCUCACUAUACCGUUAUUGACGCUGAGGCACGAAAGCGUGGGGAUCGAACAGGAUUAGAUACCCUGGUA
rnacentral:rRNA from 1 species